UAAGGGCGCACGGUGGAUGCCUUGGCACUAGAAGCCGAUGAAGGACGUUACUAACGACGAUAUGCUUUGGGGAGCUGUAAGUAAGCUUUGAUCCAGAGAUUUCCGAAUGGGGAAACCCAGCAUGAGUUAUGUCAUGUUAUCGAUAUGUGAAUACAUAGCAUAUCAGAAGGCACACCCGGAGAACUGAAACAUCUUAGUACCCGGAGGAAGAGAAAGAAAAUUCGAUUCCCUUAGUAGCGGCGAGCGAA
rnacentral:rRNA from 1 species